AUCACUGCCCACUGAAUUGAUUCGAACGACCUCGGGCUGUACGGGACUACCCGGUGGAUUUAAGCAUAUCGAUAAGCGGAGGAAAAGAAACUAACGAGGAUUCCCCCAGUAGCGGCGAGCGAAGAGGGAAGAGCCCAGCACCGAAUCCCCGGAGCCGAGUGCUUCGUCGAGGAAAUGUGGUGUUCGAGUGGUCCCGCUUAUCCUGGGUGUUGGCCGGUGCGUUCAAGUCCACCUUGAAAGGGGCCAUGGCCCAGAGAGGGUGCCAGGCCCGUAGAGACCGCUGCGCCCGCCCAGGAGGGUACCACUCUAGAGUCGGGUUGCUUGGAAAUGCAGCCCUAAGCAGGUGGUAAACUCCAUCUAAGGCUAAAUACGACCACGAGACCGAUAGCGAACAAGUACCGUGAGGUAAAGUUGAAAAGAACUUUGAAGAGAGAGUUCAACGAGUACGUGAAACCGUUCG
rnacentral:rRNA from 1 species